rnacentral:rRNA from 1 species
GUAAGAACUGCUUAGCCAUGCAUGUGUAAGUUUAAGACCAAGUAGGAUGAAACUGCGGACGGCUCAUUAUAACAGUAAUAGUUUCUUUGGUUAGUAGGUACAAGGAUAACUUUGUGAAUGAUAAAGCUAAUACUUGAGACGUUCCGGGGAGUAUUUAUACUUCACGGCCGAUGACCGCAAGGUUGUCGAGUAAUGACGUUUUUCUGUGAGAAAGGACGCCACGACAAUUGUUGAAGGCUUUGCUUUUUACAAGUAACCAAUGGGAAUUUCUGAUCUAUCAAUUAGUUGGUAGUAUCGAGGACUACCAAGAUUAUAACGGAUAACGAGGAAUUGGGGUUCGACAUCGGAGAGGGAGCUUUACAGAUGGCUACCACUUCUAAGGAAGGCAGCAGGCGCGUAAAUUACCCACUUUCGACAUGAAGAGGUAGUGACGACAAAUAACUCUGGAAGGCCUAUGGUUUUUCCUGAUGGAAUGAAUAAGAAUCAAAUUCUCUUAUGAAAUCAAUUGGAGGGCAAGUCUGGUGCCAGGAGCCGCGGUAAUUCCAGCUCCCAAUAGUGA